GAUGAACGCUGGCGGCGUGCCUAAUACAUGCAAGUCGAACGAAGCGGGGACGGGUGAGUAACACGUGGAUAACCUCCUAUAAGACUGGGAGAACUUCGGGAAACCGGAGUUAAACCGGAUACUUAUAGUAUGAUCCGCGCUGGUUUAGCUAGUUGGUAAUGUAAUGGCUUACCAAGGCAACGAUGCCUAGCCGACUUUGGAGGGUGAUCAGCCACACUGGAACUGAGACACGGUCCAGACUCCUACGGGAGGCAGCAGUGGGGAAUCUUCCACAAUGGGCGCAAGCCUGACGCAGCAACGCCGCGGGAGUGAAGAAGGUCUUCGGAUCGUAAAGCUCUGUUAGUAGGGAAGCGGUACCUAAUCAGAAAGCCACGGCUAACUCCGUGCCAGCCGCCGCGGUAAUAC
rnacentral:rRNA from 1 species